GAUGAACGCUGGCGGCGUGCCUAACACAUGCAAGUCGAACGAAGCACCUUACCUGAUUCUUCGGAGGAAAGUUUGGUGACUGAGUGGCGGACGGGUGAGUAACGCGUGGGUAACCUGCCCUGUACAGGGGGAUAACAGCUGGAAACGGCUGCUAAUACCGCAUAAGCGCACGAGGAGACAUCUCCUUGUGUGAAAAACUCCGGUGGUACAGGAUGGGCCCGCGUCUGAUUAGCUGGUUGGCAGGGUAACGGCCUACCAAGGCAACGAUCAGUAGCCGGUCUGAGAGGAUGAACGGCCACAUUGGAACUGAGCCACGGUCCAAACUCCUACGGGAGGCAGCAGUGGGGAAUAUUGCACCAUGGGGGAAACCCUGAUGCAGCAACGCCGCGUGAGUGAAGAAGUAUUUCGGUAUGUAAAGCUCUAUCAGCAGGGAAGAUAAUGACGGUACCUGACUAAGAAGCUCCGGCUAAAUACGUG
rnacentral:rRNA from 1 species